AUGAACGCUGGCGGCGUGCCUAAUAAAUGCAAGUCGCGCGAACAGACGAGGAGCUUGCUCCUCUGACGUUAGCGGCGGACGGGGGAGUAACACGUGGAUAACCUACCUAUAAGACUGGGAUAACUUCGGGAAACCGGAGCUAAUACCGGAUAAUAUAUUGAACCGCAUGGUUCAAUAGUGAAAGACGGUUUUGCUGUCACUUAUAGAUGGAUCCGCGCCGCAUUAGCUAGUUGGUAAGGUAACGGCUUACCAAGGCAACGAUGCGUAGCCGACCUGAGAGGGUGAUCGGCCACACGGGAACUGAGACACGGUCCAGACUCCUACGGGAGGCAGCAGUAGGGAAGCUUCCGCAAUGGGCGAAAGCCUGACGGAGCAACGCCGCGUGAGUGAUGAAGGUCUUCGGAUCGUAAAACUCUGUUAUUAGGGAAGAACAAAUGUGUAAGUAACUAUGCACGUCUUGACGGUACCUAAUCAGAAAGCCACGGCUAACUACGUG
rnacentral:rRNA from 1 species